CUCUGAAGUUUCCCUCAGGAUAGUUGGAGUAUGCAAUGAAGCUGUAAUAUUCGGUAAAGAUGAAUGAUUGAAGAAACUGUGGGACGAAACGUGUUAAAUCUAUUCUCAGACAUCGGUGAGUAUGACGUCUUGCAUGCUUGAAUGAAGCGUAGACAUUGAAUAUGUGCUCCAGUCGGCCAUUUUUGAUGAGCAGCAGAGCUGUGGGAUGAAUCAAAUGUUGAAUGUAAGUCUUCCGCUCAAGCGGCAUCUAUUUUCAGGCUGAUUAAUUUCAGAG
rfam:Onchocerca flexuosa genome assembly, scaffold: OFLC_contig0002898